ACGCGGGAUCCGCCGCGUCCGCGGUGGACGCUGCCUAAGCUUUAGUACCGUCAGCCUCGCCGCUCCGCGCGGAACUUGGACGCCCGGAAUAGUCUCCGUCACGCGUCUUUACAAAAGUUUUUCAUCGCCCUUCGUCGCCGAAAUCAGACCGAUCUUGGCUUCGGGCGCGACAAGCGGGACGUAACCUCGUGUGUUCGUCGCGCUCCCGUUCGCAGCGAAAUCUCCACGAGGUUUCACCGGGUACCGGAAGAGGAAGCACGUCUGUCGUUCUUGGAUGGAGGUGGACACGGAGAACGUCGGCAUGGACGAGACGGACGCGUUGAUGAGAGCCGACGGCGACGGCGGCGGCGGCGGCAAUGACAUCGUCAACGUCGUCACCAGUAACGGCAACGACGACGAUGAGGCGCCCACCGUCGAGGAGACCUACGAGAUCACCACCACCAGGCGCAAGACCAUUCGCACCAGCUACAAGAUCCAGGAGACCUCUUCGUCGACCAAGACAACUACCAUGACGACGGCGGCCAAGUUGUACGGCAAGGAUCUGAGCGAAUAUGACGACAUUGACGUGGACCAGCUGCUGGCAGAGCUCACACCAGAGGAGCUCAAUAUCCUGGCCAAGGAAGUGGAUCCCGAUGACAGCUUUAUGCCACCUUCGCAACGUUGCAGUUACGAAUGCAAUAAGAGCCCCACAGGGCCGCUGAAUCGCAAGAAACUCAUCGAGCACAUCAACAAGCAAGCUCUAGAGACGCCCGAUAUUCCAGAAUUAAAACCAUUUGUACCUGGUGUAGUUAGGGGCAAAAAAUGGGUACCUCCGCCACAAGAUAACAUAAAGGAGAAGGAGGCGGACGAACAAAUCGCGAUAGAUCUCGGGGAGGAGUAUGAACAGGCGCUUUCAGCUGCCACCCAAGAAGAAAUUAUUGAUCUUGCUGCUAUUCUCGGAUUCCAUUCUAUGAUGAAUCAAGAUCAGUAUCAUGCGUCUCUACUGAAUUCUGGACAGCCAGUCGGACUCGGCUGGGACGGAGUGACAAAGGCUAGUCAACCGAAAGUUUUUCCGAUGGACCCGCCUAAUGACACGGACGUUGACGCUACUAUUAAACAAGUGCGGGACGACGACUCGUCUCUGACUGAUUUAAAUUGGAACAAUAUCAAAAAUAUUUCAGACGAAAAAUUUAUCCAGUUGUUUGAAGGUCUGGAAAUGAACACGCAUCUCGAGUCGCUGAGUUUAACAAACGUUGGGCUCAAUGACAAAACCGCGCAACGACUGGCCGAUGCCAUAGAGAAGAAUUCGACGCUCAGAGUACUCAACGUGGAGACGAAUUUCAUAAGCCCGCCUGUGAUAGUAAGGUUGAUCAGGUCCCUCCUUAAAACAAAGUCUAUCGAAGAAUUCCGAUGUUCGAAUCAGAGGUCACAAGUAUUGGGUAACAAGAUUGAGAUGGAAAUCACACAAUUGGUAGAGCAAAACCCGACGUUGCUGCGACUCGGGCUGCAUCUGGAGUUCAAUGACGCGAGACACCGCGUAGCUGCGCAUCUGCAACGCAAUAUCGAUAGGAUUCGUCGUGUGGAACCAGCCAAGGAACGAACUAAGCAUGCAGCGAUCGCUGAUAGUCCUGCAACUUUCGCCGUUCUUCCCGCAGAUGACUUAAAAAAUAGAACGUAGCGCUGUUGCAGCGCAUACGGCAGUCCCGGCUCGGGGUGGCGACAUCUUAACGCGAAGUGGCGUUCGCCUAGAUCGCCUGCGCCGCACGGGAAGAGCUUCUCGUAACUACACCAUCGGCUGGGCCAUGCACUCAUGAUGAUCGCCACGACGUUGGCAACGGCGACGACGACGACAAUGACGACGACGACGAUGACGAUGACGACGAUGAUGAUGGGCUGAUAAGAGCGCACCGCGCCGUAAAACGGCCUCUACACGCGUACGCACAUGCGCACACACGCAUACACGCAUACAUACGUCAUUACGCAGCGCACCGUCGAGUCCCUGGGACCUCCUCCGGAUGCGUAGAACCUUUGUACUCGUGGAGAUCCGCUCUGAAAUCUCAUUAACGGACACAUUGAAAUCAUCCGAUAUGAAUGUGCGGAGGAAAAAAAGUCGGAAGCUUCGCAUGACAAAUUUUAUGUGGAUGUCUCUCGUCUUUGUUGUGUUCUAAAUAAAUAAAUAAAUAUAUAUAUAUAUAUAUACAUAUAUAUAUAUAUACACAUACAUUUAUAUAAAUAUAUAUUCCUGCAUCACACAUACAGAUAUCACUAUACAUAUACCGCGCGAAAGAUAUACUCCAAUGACGCAUUAUGAUGUAAUAAAUUUAGACCAUCGAAUGAACGUAUUGAUAAUGUUAAUUGACACAUACAUACAUAUAUAUACGUUGUAUAUACAUGUUACAACGUACAUAUAAUUGUAAGUCGUCGGGAAUAAGUUUGUGGGAAAUAAACUAUAAAAGGAGCCUGUAAGAUGAGCCGAAGGGACAUCCUUUUUUGAUAUGAUAUAUACACGCCGUUCGCUUUAAAGUACGGUUGCUUAACCGGAUUAUUUAAAUAUUUAUACACAGAGGAGAGGAGUUCUUUAAUUAAUUCGACCAAACUUUCGACCGGGUGCGACUGAGCGAUCGGGUACAAACUAUGCUGCGUUUUUUCUUUAUUUCUUUUCUCUUUUCUUUUUUCAAAAUUCUUUUACAUUAUCGUCACCAUUUGAUAAAACAGUUCAUUAUGCACCGGCAAAUAGCUAUGUCCAAAUGAUUUUAAUGCGUCACUUAGGUAAGUAUCAGAAAUGUAAAAAUUAGAAGAUAAAAUGUCUCAAAUUAAAAUGAGUGUAAAGAGUAACAGGAAACAAUACGAUUUCGUUAUUUUUAUUAUUUUAUCUUUCGUUAUUUUAUCUUAAAAUUUUUGUAUGUAAUUACUUCUUUAUGUUUCUUUUAAAUGCUGUUUGUCAUUAAAGCGUUAGUGAUUGAUGAUAUUAAUACUGCUUUAAAAUGCGAUACAUUUGCUCAAAAUUAAUUAUGAACAAAUUUCUCAUUAGAUAGAAAUAAAGAAGACAAUACCACUGACCCGAUCGUUCCGCUCGGCAUGUAAUGUUACUGUAAUAUUUGCUAAGGUACUAACUCGUUUAAAUUAAUAAUUAUUUUAGCAUAUAUACAUGUAUACAAUCAAUCUGUACAUAUUGUCUUCUCAGUGUCGUUUCUAAUCGAUCGAUGUGACCUGUACGUGUAACGAGAGAGAAUGUAGAUUUAUUAUACACGCACGUGAGGGAAAGUAACAUAAUUGUGUCUCUGUGUACAUGCGGGUGUGAAUGAGAGUGAGAGAAAGGGGCGGGAAUAUACGUGGAUGAAGAAUGAAUUAAUGCGGAAAAGUCUUGUGUUCAUUUCUAUCACAUAGUAUUAAUUUUGAUCUCUAUAUAACCAAUAGCUAUUUGCAUGUUAAAACAAUUAUUAUAUAAAUAUAUUAUAGUUGGCAUCGAAAAUGAGUCUAUAUAUUAUAUUAAAAUUAUAGUAGUUGCUCUCAGUGUAGAAUUUUAAGAAUUAGAAAAAAUGAAUAAAUUAAACCGAGAUUGAAAUUAAUCUACAUUGGUGGAAAUGGACAUUACUGAUGUAGCUCACGCUGAUUGUUGUACGUACGUAUCGUAUGUAUUCAGGGUAAUUGAAUUCACGAAAAUAUGUGCAUCUCAAAGUACUAUUGCGCUGUAAAACAAUUUUAGAACUGUAGAGAGAGAUUUUAUAUCCUCUGCGAGAAUAUAAAGUCAAUAUGAACUGUCGCAAUUAACAGAUUAUAAUUUAAGUAACCCGCACUGUCUUCGCACUUUCGGAACGCGUGUCGACUUUUUAGAACUCCAUCGAUUCCAAGAAUUUUCGAGUUUCUUAAAAUAUUCGGAUUUUUUCCAUGUUCUACGCUUUUCCACGUAAACGAUAUGCCAAGUUUUCUUGGAGAUGAAAAAGAGGGGAGGAAAAAACAACAUUGUAACUUGGUUCGCUCGCGGCCUUCCAGCGAUCGUUCUUGUAAUCGUGUUAUAUUCGCAUAUGUACUCUGUCACACGCGUCACAUUACGUAAAACACACGAAACCUAAAUGCACGCGCACGAUCAAAGCCUUGCUGCUAGCCUUUUAUCUUGUAACACGAGGUUUAAAAUAAACUGCUGAAGAAAA